AUAACUAUUGGAAACGAUAGCUAAUACCGCAUAACAGCAUUUAACCCAUGUUAGAUGCUUGAAAGGAGCAAUUGCUUCACUAGUAGAUGGACCUGCGUUGUAUUAGCUAGUUGGUGAGGUAACGGCUCACCAAGGCGACGAUACAUAGCCGACCUGAGAGGGUGAUCGGCCACACUGGGACUGAGACACGGCCCAGACUCCUACGGGAGGCAGCAGUAGGGAAUNUUCGGCAANGGGGGCAACCCUGACCGAGCAACGCCGCGUGAGUGAAGA
rnacentral:rRNA from 1 species